GAUCCAGUCCGUCCUUCCGCAAUGCAACUCAUUUUGCCAAUACUCAUUGUACUAGCAGCCUCCUCCUCAUGUGUCAUCUCACAGGUGGUGCUGACCCAGUCAGAUCCAGUAUUGAAAAAACCUGGAGAAACCCAUAAGUUGACCUGUGCCACCAGUGGGUUUGUGCUUAGUGACUACUGGAUGGGAUGGAUCCGGCAGAAACCAGGCAAAGGACUUGAAUGGCUUGUUUACUAUUAUGAUACUGUUUCUGGGAACAGCCAUUAUUCCCCUAUUAUCCAAGGACGCUUUACAGCUUCUAAGGACCACUCCAAUUUCUAUUUGCAAAUGAACAACCUUAAAGCAGAAGACACAGCAGUGUAUUACUGCGCAAGAGAUUUGGCAUACUGGGGAGGAAACCAAACAUUUUGGGGUAGAGGAGAGAGGCUAUCCAUUUAUUAUUUUUUCUUUAUUAAAGUAUUUCUGACCUACACUGUAUCAAGAAAUCUCAGAGUAGGGAACAAUAAGUAA